CCGACCUUAGCUCAGUUGGUAGAGCGGAGGACUGUAGAUCCUUAGGUCAACUGGUUCGAAUCCGGUAGGUCGGA
rnacentral:tRNA from 1 species